rnacentral:rRNA from 1 species
GAUGAACGCUGGCGGCGUGCCUAACACAUGCAAGUCGAGCGAAGCACCUUACUUGAUUUCUUCGGGAUGAAAGUAUUGUGACUGAGCGGCGGACGGGUGAGUAACGCGUGGAUAACCUGCCUCAUACAGGGGGAUAACAGUUAGAAAUGACUGCUAAUACCGCAUGAUGCAUGAUCAGGGCAUCCUGGACAUGCCAAAGAUUUAUCGCUGAAAGAUGGCCUCGCGUCUGAUUAGCUAGUUGGUGAGGUAACGGCCCACCAAGGCGACGAUCAGUAGCCGGACUGAGAGGUUGACCGGCCACAUUGGGACUGAGAUACGGCCCAG